CUUGUUGGUGGGGUGACGGCCUACCAAGGCGACGACGGGUAGCCGGCCUGAGAGGGUGUCCGGCCACACUGGGACUGAGAUACGGCCCAGACUCCUACGGGAGGCAGCAGUGGGGAAUAUUGCACAAUGGGCGCAAGCCUGAUGCAGCGACGCCGCGUGGGGGAUGACGGCCUUCGGGUUGUAAACCUCUUUCAGCAGGGACGAAGCGAAAGUGACGGUACCUGCAGAAGAAGCACCGGCCAACUACGUGCCAGCAGCCGCGGUAAUACGUAGGGUGCGAGCGUUGUCCGGAAUUACUGGGCGUAAAGAGCUCGUAGGUGGUUUGUCGCGUUGUUCGUGAAAACCGGGGGCUUAACCCUCGGCGUGCGGGCGAUACGGGCAGACUGGAGUACUGCAGGGGAGACUGGAAUUCCUGGUGUAGCGGUGGAAUGCGCAGAUAUCAGGAGGAACACCGGUGGCGAAGGCGGGUCUCUGGGCAGUAACUGACGCUGAGGAGCGAAAGCGUGGGGAGCGAACAGGAUUAGAUACCCUGGUAGUCCACGCCGUAAACGGUGGGUACUAGGUGUGGGUUUCCUUCCUUGGCAUCCGUGCCGUAGCUAACGCAUUAAGUACCCCGCCUGGGGGAGUACA
rnacentral:rRNA from 1 species